AAGACUAUACCUCCAGGAAUCAUUUCUAUAGUUUCUAACUUGAGAAAUGUGUUUCUAAAGUGACUGGUCUCACUAAUCACGAUGAAGAGGUAACUAUUCUUCUCUCUGAGCGCGAAACGAACUUCAGUUAGUGAGUCUCUCACAUGACUGUAAUGAAUGACCGUUCACUGUCGGUGACUGCUGACAGCGACGGGAGACGUAUGUUCAGAGUGGC
rnacentral:snoRNA from 1 species